CCUACGGGAGGCAGCAGUUGGGGAUCUUGCGCAAUGGGCGAAAGCCUGACGCAGCGACGCCGCGUGGAGGAUGACGGCCUUCGGGUUGUAAACUCCUUUCGAUGGGGAAGAAGGCCUCCUGUGCGUAAAGCGGAGGAGGAGUGACGGUACCCAUAGAAGAAGCUCCGGCUAACUACGUGCCAGCAGCCGCGGUAAUACGUAGGGAGCGAGCGUUGUCCGGAAUUACUGGGCGUAAAGCGUCCGUAGGCGGCGAGGUAAGUCGCACGUGAAAGCCCCGGGCUCAACUCGGGUGAGUGCGUGCGAUACUGCCCCGCUUGAGUGCCGGAGGGGAGAGUGGAACGGUGCAAGUAGCGGUGAAAUGCGUAGAUAU
rnacentral:rRNA from 1 species